rnacentral:rRNA from 1 species
CCUAGUCGGCAUAGUUUAUGGUUAAGACUACGACGGUAUCUGAUCGUCUUCGAUCCCCUAGCUUUCGUUCUUGAUUAAUGAAAACAUCCUUGGCAAAUGCUUUCGCAGUAGUUAGUCUUCAAUAAAUCCAAGAAUUUCACCUCUGACAAUUGAAUACUAAUGCCCCCAACUAUCCCUAUUAAUCAUUACGUCAAUCCUAGAAACCAACAAAAUAGGAUCGAACGUCCUAUUUCAUUAUUCCAUGCUAAUGUAUUCAAGCGUUAGCUUGCUUUAAACACUCUAAUUUUUUCAAAGUAACAGUCCAAAUUCCCCGCAACACCAAAUUAAUGGCAUUACGGUUCAUCAGGAAGGAGGAAUCAGUGAGACCAGUACAUACCAGAGGCAUGACCAACCUACUAACCCCGAAAUUCAACUACGAGCUUUUUAACUGCAACAACUUUAAUAUACGCUAUUGGAGCUGGAAUUACCGCGGCUGCUGGCACCAGACUUGCCCUCCAAUUGUUCCUCGUUAAGAGAUUUAAAUUGUACUCAUUCCAAUUACGAGAUCCUAAAGAACCCCGUAUUGUUAUUUAUUGUCACUACCUCCCCGUGUCGGGAUUGGGUAAUUUGCGCGCCUGCUGCCAUCCUUGGAUGUGGUAGCCGUUUCUCAGGCUCCCUCUCCGGUGUCGUGCCCUAACACCCCGUUACCCGUUACCACCAUGGUAGGCCUCUAUCCUA